CCCUUGGUCAGGUUGAAGGUUAGGUAACACUAACUGGAGGACCGAACCGACUACCUUUGAAAAGUUAGCGGAUGACUUGUGGCUAGGGGAGAAAUUCCAAUCGAACCCGGAGAUAGCUGGUUCUCCCCGAAAUAGCUUUAGGGCUAGCGUCAAGAUGAACUUAUCUGGAGGUAGAGCACUGAAUGUGUGAUGGCCCCAUCCCGGGGUACUGAACACAAUCAAACUCCGAAUGCCAGGUAAGAUGAUUGGCAGUCAGACCGUGAGUGAUAAAGUCCAUGGUCAAGAGGGAAACAGCCCAGACCGCCAGCUAAGGUCCCAAAAUUCUGGCUAAGUGGAAAAGGAUGUGGGGAUGCACAGACAACUAGGAGGUUGGCUCAGAAGCAGCCAUCCUUGAAAGAGUGCGUAACAGCUCACUAGUCGAGUGACCCUGCGCCGAAAAUGUACCGGGGCUAAGCCAGGUACCGAAGCUGCGGAUAUUCCUAGAAUAUGGUAGGGGAGCGUUGCAUGUGGGGUGAAGCCGUAUCGUGAGGAGCGGUGGACAGCAUGGAAGUGAGAAUGCCGGUGUGAGUAGCGAGAUGUAGGUGAGAAUCCUACACACCGAAAGCCCAAGGAUUCCAGGGGAAGGUUCGUCCGCCCUGGGUAAGUCGGGACCUAACGCGAGGCCGAGAGGCGUAGUGGAUGGAAAACAGGCAGAUAUUCCUGUACCCGUAUAUGGAGCGAAGGAGGAACGGAGAAGGCUAGCAUGACCCUCUUAAUGGAUUGAGGGCGAAGCGAGGUAACUGGUGACCAGGCAAAUCCGGUCACUGCAAGGUGAAGACGUAACAGGUAAGUGAAAGAGCGAUCGAGUAGCGAAGCAUGUGAUGCCAGCUUCCAAGAAAAGCUUCUAGCAAUGCAUAUACGGCCCGUACCAAAACCGACACAGGUGGGCAGGGAGAGUAUCCCGAGGUGAGCGAGAGAACUGUUGCCAAGGAACUCGGCAAAAUGGCUCCGUAAGUUAGCAAGAAGGAGCGCUCGAAAGAGCCGCAGUGAAAAGGCCCAAGCGACUGUUUAACUAAAACAUAGCUCUCUGCGAAGCCGCAAGGCGAAGUAUAGGGGGUGACACCUGCCCGGUGCUGGAAGGUUAAG
rnacentral:rRNA from 17 species